UACAGAGGUCCCAAGCGUUGUUCGGAUUCAUUGGGCGUAAAGGGUGCGUAGGCGGCGCGGUAAGUCGGGUGUGAAAUCUUGGAGCUUAACUCCGAAACUGCAUUCGAUACUGCCGUGCUUGAGGACUGGAGAGGAGACUGGAAUUUACGGUGUAGCGGUGAAAUGCGUAGAUAUCAGGAAGAACACCCGUGGCGAAGGCGGCUCUCUGGGACGGUACUGACGCUGAGACGCGAAAGCGUGGGGAGCGAACAGG
rnacentral:rRNA from 1 species